GGUUUGGCUGGGCGGUCUCCCAAUGGGUUGCACUGUUCCGGCUGAAUCUUUCCUUCUGGCGAACCAUUGUGCCAUUAAUUUGGUGUUGCGGGGAAUUUGGACUGUUACUUUGAAAAAAUUAGAGUGUUUAAAGCAAGCUAACGUUUGAAUACAUUAGCAUGGAAUAAUGAAAUAGGACGUUCGAUCCCAUUUUGUUGGUUUCUAGGAUUGACGUA
rnacentral:rRNA from 1 species